rnacentral:rRNA from 1 species
ACAGGCAGGCGACAGUAGGGAAUCUUCCGCAAUGGACGCAAGUCUGACGGAGCAACGCCGCGUGAGUGAGGAAGGCCUUCGGGUCGUAAAGCUCUGUUGCCAGGGAAGAAUGGCUUGCAGUUAACUGCUGCAAGUUUGACGGUACCUGAGAAGAAAGCCCCGGCUAACUACGUGCCAGCAGCCGCGGUAAUA